rnacentral:rRNA from 1 species
AUUCCAGCUCCAAUAGCGUAUAUUAAAGUUGUUGCAGUUAAAAAGCUCGUAGUUGGAUUUUUGACAGGAGCGACCAUACCGGGCUUGAUUGUCCGUGUUUUGUGUUGUCUCCAGUCAUCCUCGUGGAGAGCGUUUCUGGCAUUAGUUUGUUGGAGGCGGGACCCACGUCAUUUACUGUGAAAAAAUUAGAGUGUUUAAAGCAGGCAAUUGGCUUGAAUACAUUAGCAUGGAAUAAUAAGAUAGGACUUUGGUGCUAUUUUGUUGGUUUGCACAUCAAGGUAAUGAUUAACAGAAUCAGUCGGGGAUAUUCGUAUGCAAAUGUCAGAGGUGAAAUUCUUGGAUUUUUUACAGACGAACUACUGCGAAAGCAUUUAUCAAGGAUGUUUUCAUUA